CUAUCGAGACGAUUCAAGAAAGACGCGAGAAGAGCUUAGAUCGAAUUAGAAAUUAGGAUCUAGGAUCGCCAACAGAGAGCCCGGCUAGAAUACCAAUCAGUAGUAGUAGCAGCAGAGCAUAUCGUCGACAUCGUCGGUCGACGCAUAUCAGUGGGCGGGUUCGUGGACUCUCCGCGUAACUAUUAAUAAAGCUCGGCUUGUCUCUUCAAGGUCGUAGUCGUGCCUUCGAAAAGAGAUAUAUCGUACGGCCACUGCGAUUUGCCGAUAUAUAAAUAAGCGCAAUUUGGGAAAUAACGUGAAUUUGUUGGACAUUCGAAAGUGAUCUCUCACCAAGGAAGAAACGGGGAUUAUUGUUUUGAGAAUAAGAGAUCUCGUACGUGUGUUAAGGUCGCUGUUAAGAUCGAGUUAAUCGAACGGGAAUCGGAGAAUCGGGUGAUGUAUCGCUGUUUAAGUCGAAAAGGAUCGAUUUAUGGAAUUGAUCUUAGUGAGUGAAUUUUCUCGAUUGACGAAGCAUACAUGUAGCAUUGAUCCAAACCAAUCGAUGUUCAAUUGUUUAAACAAACAAAGGAACAGUAAAAAAUAAGACAAGAAAAGCAAGAAGAGGGUGGGAGAAUGAACAAAAACUAAACUAUGGGAACAUAAUCGAUUGAUGUCGAUCGACAAAGAUUAACGAUAUGGUCAAAACGUGUCGUGUGAACUUACAGCAACAGAUUUUUUUUGUUGAUUACAAGAAAAUUGUAUUUCAGAUUAUUUCUCUUAAGUAUCCUCGUUAGCUUGUUAAAUAUAAGCCAAUAGUAUCUAUCCUUUUCUUUUUUCUCCUACAUGCAAUUUUCCAGCUCCGAUUAGUUUCCUAGAUGGAUUAAGUAAGGAUAGGUCGGGAGAUCGAGUUAAGCACAUUUCUAAGACGAAAGACGUAUGUAGGGAGAGAAAGAGAGAAAGAGAGAGAGAGAGAGAGAGAGAGAGAGAGAGAGAGAGAGAGAGAGAGAGAGAGAGAGAGAGAGAGAGAAAGCCGAGAAAUAGAGAAAUCGUAACUCUCGUUUUCUCUUGGACUUAGAGACGGAUAUAAAUCGGCAGGAGAUGGCGCCUGUGUCUUGGCAGCCAUACUAGUGUGCUACAAAAGUUGGCAUACACGCUCUGCGGGAGAGCAUCAUGAUGAAAGACAUGAAUAUACCGGCUUUUCGUAGAUUACAAUUAUAUAUAUAUAUAUAUAUAAUUUUGAUAAACAAACUGCAAAGUUUAUAAAAAAUAUUUAGCUAACUUUUGGAUCGAUAAAAAAGGAGGAUUAUUAAAAAUGCUAUUGGUCAUGUGAUAGCGCAAGCAUACAA